AUUGUAAAGACAAAAUACGUCCACUAUGCAAACAGCUAUUUCCUCCUACAAGUUGAGUGUUGCUCUGCUGUCUGCCGGCUGCUGUCUUGGGAGCAUUGUCUUGGUUGGCAGAAGCAGCUGAAGUGGAGAACACGUCCUGUGACAUGAACAGCAUGUCAACAGUUUUCAACUGGUUCCGAGGUGCGUUUGGGUUUGUGUGGAGGUGGGUGAUGGACAACAUCCCACAGUUCAUCGCUAGACAAGACAGGAUUUUAAACCAACCAACAAUUCAAGAAAACAAGAGUAAAGUUUCUAACAACAUCAAAAUAACGAGGAAAACUGAAAAACGUGGAGGAAACAGUUCCAGCAAUGAAACAGCAGGAACUGUUCAUGUGGACAACGAGCCCAAAAUUAUUGGCAAUGAUGGCGCUGUGGCCAAUAAUAUACAAUAUGAGGAUUAGACUGCAUCAUGAUAACCCAUGGUGGACAAGGAAACUCCUCAAGGAUACAACUCCAGCGUAUCGGCAACUGAUGGGGAAUUUGUUAACCGUCCCGUUAUGUCUGGAAACCAAGUGGGAGGUGCCAUUCAUUGCCCAAUCACCAUCACAGGGCAGGUGAGCCACAGAUCUCAAACAACCAAGUGGGAGAUGGAAUCAAUGCCGACAUAAAUGUGGGCUGACUGAAUAAAGGGAAACAAGUGUGGAUCAUGGGGAUAACUGACUAAUUGAGAAAAAACAAGCGUGCAUCAUGGGGAAAGAUAUUCUGUUCGCAAUUCACGGAACAGCAUACUGUAGGCUCUCUCACAAUCAUCCGGUGUUAAUCACUUAAUCAGAAUAUCUUUUAUUUGUCACUAACACUGGCAGUGAAUUUGAGCAGCCAUAAAGUCAUAAGGAGUCAACAUGCAAAGUCGUAAACAGUGUUGCCAACUUAGCGACUUUUUGACGUCCCUCGCGACAACAAACCUCAUCCAGCACCUUCGGCGACUUUUUGGUGCAUUUGGUGACUUUUUAAAAUGCACAUUUUCAAUGCAAAUUCAUUGUUUUUCAACAUAAUUUUUACUCUACACCGCCGUCAGAAGUGUUUCCCACGGUUAAGCAGGGCUGCAGAUUAGCGCUGAUCUCCAAAAAGUAGCUACCACCGCCAAUUUGUACUGUGGACGAAGGCAUGUGUGCACGUUUUCUGUAGAUCAGCACGCUGUGCAUGAUGCUGUGACGUCAUACGCAACGUCAUGACGUCAUCUGGCGACUUCUAGUGACUUUUCAGCGAGCCAGUAGCAACUUUGGCUGAUUUUCUUUUGGCAACACUGGUCGUAAAGCCCAAACGCAAUAGAAGAUUAAAGUCGGCAUGUUAUUUUAACGGACAGGUAUGACGCCACGUUGCACCCAGCCAGCUACAUAGUACAAAUCUCUCCUUCCAAAUUCACCCACCCAGCCAGCUACAUAGUACAAAUCUCUCCUUCCACGUUCACACACCCAGGUGAGUUUGUGCCCUUAAACCCUGGGGUUUGACCUGACCGGGGCCGGGACAAAAUCAUCUGAAAGGGCCCCCCCUCUCAAUACAUACGUACAGUGCAAUGUAAUGGGGAGCCAAUUCUGGGGCCCCUCUCUCCCUGGGCUCGGGACAACAGACCUGUUUGUCUUACAGUGUGACAAAUACAAGAUAAUCUGAUUAAGUGGUUAACAAUGUUUCCUCUCACAAUGAGCUACCGAAAUAAAGCCCAAAAAUCAUGCAAAAAAGACUGUCCUUGUCAAAACUUGUAAAUUGACUGACCAAAGUGGUUUGAGGAAAAUAAAAAAAUAAAUAAAUUCGGAUGCAUAUGGUA